CGAGUCUUUGACGCACAUUGCGCCCAUUGGUAUUCCUUUGGGCAUGUCUGUUUGAGCGUCAUUACAACCCUCAGCUAACCGCUGGUUUUGGACCCGAACGGCUUGACCGCCGCGCAGGUUUUAAAGUUGUAAGCUCUGCUGGCCGCUCUGCCCCCAACCGGAACAUAGUAAGCACUACUUUUGUUAAGGUGAAGCGGAACGGUACGGCCUGUAACAAAACCUACCCUUUUUUCUCAAGGUUUGACCUCAGAUCAGACAAGGAUACCCGCUGAACUUAAGCAUAUCAAUAAGCGGAGGAAAAGAAACCAACAGGGAUUGCCUCAGUAACGGCGAGUGAAGCGGCAACAGCUCAAAUUUGAAAUCUGGAGCCUUCGGCUUCCGAGUUGUAAUUUGAAGAGGAUGUUUCGGUUGCGACCUGGGCCUAAGUUCCUUGGAACAGGACGUCAUGGAGGGUGAGAAUCCCGUACAUGGCUGCAGGUUUGCUUCCAUGUGAAACUCCUUCGAAGAGUCGAGUUGUUUGGGAAUGCAGCUCAAAAUGGGUGGUAAAUUUCAUCUAAAGCUAAAUAUUGGCGGGAGACCGAUAGCGCACAAGUAGAGUGAUCGAAAGAUGAAAAGCACUUUGAAAAGAGAGUUAAACAGUACGUGAAAUUGUUGAAAGGGAAGCGCUUGCAAUCAGACUCGCCUUCAGCUGAUCAACCUUCCUUCUGGUUGGUGCACUCUGCUGUUGGCGGGCCAGCAUCAGUUGGGGCGGUGGGAUAAAGGCGGCAGG
rnacentral:rRNA from 1 species